AUUGAACGCUGGCGGCAGGCCUAACACAUGCAAGUCGAACGAGUGGCGGACGGGUGAGUAAUGUCUGGGAAACUGCCUGAUGUAGGGGGAUAACUACUGGAAACGUUAGCUACUACCGCAUACCAUCGGAUGUUCCCAGAUGGGAUUAGCUAGUAGGUGGGGUCACGGCUCACCUAGGCGACGAGCCCUAGCUGGUCUGAGAGGAUGACCAGCCACACUGGAAAGUAGACACGGUCCAGACUCCUACGGGAGGCAGCAGUGGGGAAUAUUGCACAAUGGGCGCAAGCCUGAUGCAGCCAUGCCGCGUGUAUGAAGAAGGCCUUCGGGUUGUAAAGUACUUUCAGCGGGGAGGCGUUACCCGCAGAAGAAGCACCGGCUAACUCCGUGCCAGCAGCCGCGGUAAUUC
rnacentral:rRNA from 1 species